GCGCCCGUAGCUCAAUUGGAUAGAGCACCUGACUACGGAUCAGGAGGUUAGGAGUUCGAAUCUCUUCGGGCGCGCCA
rnacentral:tRNA from 1 species